AUUGAACGCUGGCGGCAGGCCUAACACAUGCAAGUCGAGCGGAUGAAGGGAGCUUGCUCCUGGAUUCAGCGGCGGACGGGUGAGUAAUGCCUAGGAAUCUGCCUGGUAGUGGGGGAUAACGUCCGGAAACGGGCGCUAAUACCGCAUACGUCCUGAGGGAGAAAGUGGGGGAUCUUCGGACCUCACGCUAUCAGAUGAGCCUAGGUCGGAUUAGCUAGUUGGUGGGGUAAAGGCCUACCAAGGCGACAAUCCGUAACUGGUCUGAGAGGAUGAUCAGUCACACUGGAACUGAGACACGGUCCAGACUCCUACGGGAGGCAGCAGUGGGGAAUAUUGGACAAUGGGCGAAAGCCUGAUCCAGCCAUGCCGCGUGUGUGAAGAAGGUCUUCGGAUUGUAAAGCACUUUAAGUUGGGAGGAAGGGCAGUAAGUUAAUACCUUGCUGUUUUGACGUUACCAACAGAACAAGCACCGGCUAACUUCGUG
rnacentral:rRNA from 1 species